rnacentral:rRNA from 1 species
GCUAAUACCGCAUAACGUCGCAAGACCAAAGAGGGGGACCUUCGGGCCUCUUGCCAUCGGAUGUGCCCAGAUGGGAUUAGCUAGUAGGUGGGGUAACGGCUCACCUAGGCGACGAUCCCUAGCUGGUCUGAGAGGAUAACCAGCCACACUGGAACUGAGACACGGUCCAGACUCCUACGGGAGGCAGCAGUGGGGAAUAUUGCACAAUGGGCGCAAGCCUGAUGCAGCCAUGCCGCGUGUAUGAAGAAGGCCUUCGGGUUGUAAAGUACUUUCAGCGGGGAGGAAGGGAGUAAAGUUAAUACCUUUGCUCAUUGACGUUACCCGCAGAAGAAGCACCGGCUAACUCCGUGCCAGCAGCCGCGGUAAUACGGAGGGUGCAAGCGUUAAUCGGAAUUACUGGGCGUAAAGCGCACGCAGGCGGUUUGUUAAGUCAGAUGUGAAAUCCCCGGGCUCAACCUGGGAACUGCAUCUGAUACUGGCAAGCUUGAGUCUCGUAGAGGGGGGUAGAAUUCCAGGUGUAGCGGUGAAAUGCGUAGAGAUCUGGAGGAAUACCGGUGGCGAAGGCGGCCCCCUGGACGAAGACUGACGCUCAGGUGCGAAAGCGUGGGGAGCAAACGGGAUUAGAUACCCUGGUAGUCCACGCCGUAAACGAUGUCGACUUGGAGGUUGUGCCCUUGAGGCGUGGCUUCCGGAGCUAACGCGUUAAGUCGACCGCCUGGGGAGUACGGCCGCAAGGUUAAAACUCAAAUGAAUUGACGGGGGCCCGCACAAGCGGUGGAGCAUGUGGUUUAAUUCGAUGCAACGCGAAGAACCUUACCUGGUCUUGACAUCCACGGAAGUUUUCAGAGAUGAGAAUGUGCCUUCGGGAACCGUGAGACAGGUGCUGCAUGGCUGUCGUCAGCUCGUGUUGUGAAAUGUUGGGUUAAGUCCCGCAACGAGCGCAACCCUUAUCCUUUGUUGCCAGCGGUCCGGCCGGGAACUCAAAGGAGACUGCCAGUGAUAAACUGGAGGAAGGUGGGGAUGACGUCAAGUCAUCAUGGCCCUUACGACCAGGGCUACACACGUGCUACAAUGGCGCAUACAAAGAGAAGCGACCUCGCGAGAGCAAGCGGACCUCAUAAAGUGCGUCGUAGUCCGGAUUGGAGUCUGCAACUCGACUCCAUGAAGUCGGAAUCGCUAGUAAUCGUGGAUCAGAAUGCCACGGUGAAUACGUUCCCGGGCCUUGUACACACCGUCCGUCACACCAUGGGAGUGGGUUGCAAAAGAAGUAGGUAGCUUAACCUUCGGGAGGGCGCUUACCACUUUGUGAUUCAUGACUGGGGUGAAGUCGUAACAAGGUA